GAAUCGUAGAAGAAAACAAUGGAAUCAACUUCGAAGAAGGUAACUUUGAGCAGCUCCGACGGGUGGACUUUCGAGGUGGAGGAAGCGGUUGCAUUCCAGUCUCAGACGAUCAAACACUUGUACGAAACAGGUUGCAUCGGUGACUUCAUCCCUGUCCCUAACGUCACUGGUGACAUCUUAUCCAUGGUUCUCUGAUACUGCGAGAAGCACGUAGAUUCGGAUACCAUCGCUGGCAAGGAAAGCUUCUACGAUAACAAACUCAAGCGCUGGGAUGCUCUUUUUUUCAAGGUUGACCAAAGCACCCUCUUCGACCUCAUCUUGGCGGCCAACUUUAUGAAUAUAAAUAGCUUGAUGGACUUGACAUGCAAAACUGUUGCCAACAUGAUGAAGGGGAAGACAACUAAGGAGAUUCGUGGUACCUUCAACAUCAAGAACGAUUACACCCCCGAGGCAGAAGAGAUGGUUAGGAGGGAGAACCAAUGGGCAUUCGAAUGAUUCAUAUCCAUACCCAUUGACACCUGGGCACUCGAAUGUGCGGGAGCGUCAGACACCAUCAGCAAACUAGGCCCUUGGUCGUGCGGGAGCCUCGGGCACCAUCGGCACCUUGGUGCUUGGAUGUGCGGGAGCCUCAGACAAUGUUGGCAUCCUAGGCUCUUGGUCGUGCGAGAGCCUCGGGCACCAUCGGCACCUAGGGGCUCGGAUGUCCAGGAGGCUCGGACACCAUCGGCAAACUAAGCACUUGGUCACGCGGGAGCCUUGGGCACCAUCGGCACCUCGGUACUCAGAUGUGCAGGAGCCUCGGGCAACAUCAGCAGAAUAGGCCCUUCGUCGUGUGAGAGCCUCGGGCACUAUCGGCACCUUGGUGGCUCAAAUGUGCGGGAGCCUCGAGCAGCACGGGCACCUUGGUGGCUCGGACGUGCGGGAGCCUCGGACACCAUCCGCAACCUUAGUGCUUGGAUGUGCCGGAGCCUUGAACACCAUUGGCACCUUAGUGCUUGGGAUGUGCGGGCUAAAGAAAAGCUUCCCCAUUUCAAACAGUCGAAUGUUUCCUGGUAGCACAUUGACGAAGUUUUUUUAGCUCUUUAAGGGGUAGAGAUCCGCUGCCCCCCGACGUAGCCCCCCUCCGAGCCGAGGUGGGGUGCGUUUAGCCCCCCCAUGGGGGUCAGGUCAUCCCGCAACGACUCAUCAAUGAUGGUGAGUCGGUCGCCGGCAGUAGUGGAUGGCGUAAUGAUUUUUCGGCCAGCCAAAGCCUGUGCCCAUAGAAAUGUAGCCAACGACUCCAGGACCAAGUUCCCUGUAUCAGGCAAAGAUCUCUUCGGAUGGCUUAUGCAUUGCUAUGGGCUCAAGCUUGGCUUGCCCGUCUGCCUCCGCCACGUUUAGGGAUGCCUUGUGCAUCCCAAGUCGGUGACCACAAGGCACCUUGGUCUUGCCAAGCCCUUGCCCGCAUUCGAAGCUACUCGUGACCCCAAUACCAAGUCCCUUUGACGACAACGGCUCACUAGGUGGUGUAAGUUGAGAUUGUAGGCUUGGUCUUGGCUCAACCAAGUCCCAGUGGGAUUUUUCCCUUCGUAGUUCUCGUGCCAAGCGGUUGUGGUGUGCCCUUUUUCUUUGUUCCUUCUGCUCCCCUUCCAUUUGAUUGGUUGGGUGGGCUGUUGGGCGGUGUGCGCGGGCGCUACUACUAGUAUGCAAUGGGCAUAUGAGUGGUAUUUUGGUUGUGUGUAUUAGUAGGCUCCAUGCUACUCGCAUCAAACUGUUGAGCCGUACUCCUCUUCAUUAACUCCCCUUGUUGUAAUUGAACCCAAGGGGUGGGAUAAGGAUCCUGUGUUGCAUACCUAAGCCAGAUGGAAUUAUGGAUGUGUUGCUGUCCUUUCUCCAUCUCGUGCCCUUCGGGGUGCGUGUUGGACCUCAAUCGUGCCUUGUGUCUCGAGUGUGGCCCCUUAAAUUGGCGUGGCCUUGUCGGUGCACUGGUGCUCCAUCGUGCUUUCAGAUGCGAAAAAUAUUUUUGAGAGUAGGGUUGAGGCCCUUAUCUCUCGAUGCCUAUGCAUUUUCUCUCUUGACACGGACGAUGCUCGUGCUCUGUUAUGUCCUCUUCGUUGCUCACGUGGCAUGUUGAGGGCCAUGCAGUGCCGACGUCUCGGAGGACUGCUACUUGGUUGAUCCUGCCAGUAGUCAUAUGCUUGUCUCAAAGAUUAAGCCAUGCAGGUGUAAGUAUGAACAAAUUUAGACUGUGAAACUGUGAAUGGCUCAUUAAAUCAGUUAUUGUUUGUUUGAUGGUAUUUGCUACUCAGAUAACCGUAGUAAUUCUAGAGCUAAUACGUGCAACAAACCUCGGCUUCUAGAAGGGAUGCAUUUAUUAGAUAAAAGGUCGACGUCGGCUUUGCCCGUUGCUCUGAUGAUUCAUGAUAACUUGACGGACCGCACGGCCUUUGUGCCGACGGUGCAUCAUUCAAAAUUUCUGCCCUAUCAAGUUUCUAUGGUAGGACAGUGGCCUACUAUGGUGGUGACGGGUGACGGAGAAUUAGGGUUUGAUUCUUGAGAGGGAGCCUGAGAAAUGGGUACCACAUCCAAUGAAGAAAGUAGGGGCGAAAAUUACCCAAUCCUGACACGGGGAGGUAUUGACAAUAAAUAACAAUACCAGCUCUAAUAGUGUAUAUUUAAGUUGUUGCAGUUAAAAACAUCGUAGUUGGACUUAGGGGUGGGUCGACCGGUCCGCCUCACAGUGAGCACCGGUCUGCUCGUCCCUACUGCCGGUGAUGUGCUCCUGGCCUUAAUUGGUCGGGUCGUUCCUCCGGCGCUGUUACUUUGAAGAAAUUAGAGUGCUCAAAGCAGGCCCACGCUUGUAUACAUUAGCAUGGGAUAACAUCAUAGGAUUUCGAUUCUAUUGUGUUGGCCCUCGGGAUCGGAGUAAUGAUUAACAGGGACAGUUGGGGGCAUUCGUAUUUCAUAGUCAGAGGUGAAAUUGUUGGAUUUAUGAAAGACGAAAAACUGCGAAAGCAUUUGCCAAGGAUAUUUUCAUUAAUCAAGAAGGAAAGUUGGGGGCUUGAAGACGAUCAGAUUCUCUCCUAGUCUCAACCAUAAACGAUGCCGACCAGAAAUCGGCGGAUGUUACUUUUAGGACUCUGACAGCACCUUAUAAGAAAUCAAAGUCCUUGGGUUUCGGGGGGAGUAUGGUCGCAAGGGUGAAACUUAAAGGAAUUCAUGGAAGGGCAACACCAGGAGUGGAGCCUGUGGCUUAAUUUGACUCAGCACGGGGAAACUUACCAGGUCCAAACAUAGUAAGGAUUGACAGACUGAGAGCUCUUUCUUGAUUGGUGCAUGGCCAUUCUUAGUUGGUGGAGCAAUUUGUCUGGUUAAUUCCGUUAACGAACAACACCUCCGCCUACUAACUAGCUACACGGAGGUGAUCCUCCUUGGCUAGCUUCUUAAAGGGACUAUGGCCUUUUAGGCCAAGGAAGUUUGAGGCAAUAACAGGUCUGUGAUGCCCUUAGAUGUUCUGGGCCACACGCGCAGUACACUGAUGUAUUCAACGAGUCUAUAGCCUUGGCCGACAGGCCCGGGUAAUCUUUCAAAUUUCAUCAUGAUGGGGAUAGAUCAUUGCAAUUGUUGGUCUUCAACGAGGAAUUCCUAGUAAGCUUGAGUCAUCAGCUCGCGUUGACUACGUCCCUGCCCUUUGUACACACUGCCUGUCGUGAUGUGGGAGGUUCGCUGCUCGCGACGUCUCGAGAAGUCCACUGAACCUUAUCAUUUAGAGGAAGGAUUAUUGUCGAAACUUGCCUAGCAGAACGACCCAUGAAUGCGUUGCAAACAACACUGGAGGUGGUGCGGGGGCAUCUUCCCCUCUCGCCACCCCCGUGUCUCAGAGCGGUCAGUCUUGUCGUCCCUUUGACCAUCGAGUGGGGUUAGAUGCUAGGAUCAACCUCUUCGAGGCAAAACAAAUAAACCCCUGGUGCGAAUCGCGCCACGAAAUCGAAACUAAAAAAGGGCACGUCUUCUGUCGCCGCAAUGUUCGCAGUGUUGGUGCUUCAAUGAUGUUGUUCUCCUAUCGCAAAAUAUACAGAACGACUUUCGACAACGGAUAUCUCAGCUCUCGUAUCAAUGAAGAACGUAGUGAAAUGCGAUACGUGGUGUGAAUUGCAGAAUCCCAUAAACCAUCGUGUCUUUGGACGCAAGUUGCGCCCCAAGCCAUUAGACCGAGGGCACAUCUUCCUGGGUGUCACACAUCGUUGCCCCCAUCCAACCAUGAUCCCUCGAGGCUCAGUUGGACCGCGGGUAGAAAUUGGCCUCCCAUGCGCUCACAGCCAGCGGUUGGCCUAAAUUCGACUCCUCGACGACAUCAUCGUUGCAACGAUCGGUGGGUAAUGCUAUAAGCAACCUCGUUCGGAGUCGUGUACGUUCGUCGAUCGAGACCCUUGAACCCUUUCGACAUCGCAAGGGUGGUGCUCGUAUCGCGACCCCAAGUCAGGCGGGAUUACCUGUUGAGUUUAAGCAUAUCAAUAAGCAGAGGAAAAGAAACUUAUCAGGAUUCCCCUCGUAACGGCGAGCGAACCGGGAAAAGCCCAGCUUGAGAAUCAGUCGCCAUCGGUGUCCGAAUUGUAGUCUAGAGAAGCGUCCUCAGUGACGGAUCGGGCCCAAGUCCCCUAGAAAGGGGCGUCGAAGAGGGUGAGAGCCCCGUCGUACUCGAACCCUGUCGCACCACGAAACGCUGAUAGACGUGAGUCAUGGCGGCGGCCCGAGCCCGGGCCUUUGAUACGCCUGUGGAGACGUCAUCGCCUCAAUUGUGGGAUUCAGCACGCACCAUCUCAGCUGCUUUGACACCUGCGUGCUCCGGGCGUCGGCUUGCGGGCUCCCCAUUCGGCCCGUCUUGAAACACGGACCAAGGAGUCAGACAUGUGUGCGAGUCAACGGGCUUGAAAACUCGUAAGGCAUAAGGAAGCUGAUUGGCAGGAUCCCUCACGGGUGCACCGCCAACGAACCUUGAUCUUCUAAGAAGGGUUCGAGUGAGAGCAUGCCUGUCGGGACCCGAAAGAUGGUGAACUAUGCCUGAGCAGGGCGAAGCCAGAGGAAACUCUGGUGGAGGCCUACAGCGAUAUAGAUGCGCAAAUCAUUCGUCUGACUUCGGUAUAGGGGCGAAAGACUAAUCGAACUCUCUAGUAGCUGGUUCCCUCCGCAGUUUCCCUCAGGAUAGCUGGAACCCUUUGCGAGUUCUAUCGGGUAAAGCCAACGAUUAGAGGCAUUAGGGGUGUAACGCCCUCGACCUAUUCUCAAACUUUAAAUAGGUAAGAUGGCGCGGCUGCUUCGCUGAGUCGCGCAAUGGAAUCGAGAGCGCCAAGUGGGCCAUUUUUGGUAAGCAGAACUGGCGAUGCAGGAUCAACCGAAAGCCAGGUGACGGUGCCCAACUGCGCGCUAACCUAGAACCCAUAAAGUGUGUUGGUCGAUUAAGACAGCAGGAGUGUGUCGAAUGAGAACUUUGAAGGCCGAAGAGGGGAAAGGUUCCAUGUGAACAGCAGUUGCACAUGGGUUAGUCGAUCCUAAGAGACAGGGAAAGCCCAUCCGAUAGCACGUUCAGCGCGAGCUUCGAAAGGGAAUCAAGUUAAAAUUCCUGAACCGAGAGGCGGCGACUGACAACAACGUUAAGGAGUCCAAUAACGUCGGUAGGGGCCUCGGGAAGAGUUAUCUUUUCUAUUUAACGGCCUACCCACCCUGGAAACGUCUCAGCCGGAGGUAGGGUCCAGAGGGCGGAAGAGCACCGCACAUCGCGUGGAGUCCGGUGCGCCCCCGUCAGCACUUGAAAUUCUGGAGGACCGAGUACCGUCCGCGCCCGGUCGUGCUCAUAACCGCAUCAGGUCUCCAAGGUGAACAGCCUUUGGUCAAUGGAACAAUGUAGGCAAGGGAAGUCGGCAAAAUGGACCCGUAACCUCAGGAAAAGGAUUGGUUCUGAGGGCUGGGCACGGGGGUCCCAGUCCCGAACCCAUCGGCUACCAGUGCAGCUCGAGCUACUCCCACAGAGAGAAUGGGUCACCGCGUGCAGGCCAGGGGACGGACUAGGAACGGUUCCCUCGGGGGCCUUCCCCAGACGACGAACAGUCGACUCAGAACUGGUACAGACAAGGGGAAUCUGACUGUUUAAUUAAAACAAAGCAUUACGAUGGUCCUUGCGGAUGCUCACGCAAUGUGAUUUCUGCCCAGUGCUCAGAAUGUGAAAGUGAAGAAAUUCAACUAAGCGCAGGUAAACUACGGGAGUAACUAUGACUCUCUUAAGGUAGCCAAAUGCCUCGUCAUCUAAUUAGUGACUCACAUGAAUGGAUUAACGAGAUUCCUACUGUCCCUAUCUACUAUCCAGCGAAACCACAGCCAAGGGAACGGGCUUGGUAGAAUCAGCGGGGAAAGAAGACCCUGUUGAGCUUGACUCUAGUCCAACUUUGUGAAAUAACUUGAGAGGUGUAGGAUAAGUGGGAGCUCUCAGGCGAAAUUGAAAUACCACUACUUUUAACGUUAUUUUACUUAUUUCGUGAAUCGGAGUUGGGGUACAGCCUCUCUUUUUGGACCCAAGGUUGGCUUCAGCAGGCCGAUCAGGGCAGAAGACAUUGUCAGGUGAGGAGUUUGGCUGGGGCGGCACAUCCGUUAAAAGAUGACGCAGGUGUCCUAAGAUGAGCUCAACGAAAACAGAAAUUUCGUGUGGAACAAAAGGGUAAAAGCUCGUUUGAUUCUGAUUACCAGUACGAAUACGAAUCGUGAAAGCGUGUCCUAUCGAUCCUUUAGACCUUCGAAAUUUGAAGUUGGAAGAGUCAGAAAAGUUACCACAGGGAUAACUAGCUUGUGGCAGCCAAGCGUUCAUAGCGACGUUACUUUUUGAUCCUUCGAUACCGGCUCUUGCUAUCAUUGUGAAGCAGAAUUCACCAAUUGUUGGAUUGUUCACCCACCAAUAGAGAACAUGAGCUGGGUUUAGACCGUCAUGAGAUAGGUUAGUUUUACCCUACUGAUGGCCGCGUCGCAAUAGUAAUUCAACCUAGUACGAGAGGAAACGUUGAUUCGGACAAUUGGUUUUACCCUACCGUGCGCUGGAUUAUGACUACACGCCUCUAAGUCAGAAUCCGGGCUAAAAGUGAUGCACGCGCCCGUCGCCCGAUUGCCAACCUGCAGUAGGGGCCUCUGGCCCCCAAGGGCAUAUGUCGUAGGUGCAGCGACUGCGGCAGACAAGUCACUGGCACCUCCUUGGAGCGUUAUUCCCAUCGAACGGUGGGUAGAAUCCUUUGCAGAUGACUUAAAUAUGUGACGGGGUAUUGUUUGUGGCAGAGUGGCCUUGCUCCCACGAUUCAUUGAGAUUCAACCCUUUGUCGCUUCGAUUCGUCCCUCCCCUAUCGCUGAUCCGAUCCCCCUUUUUCUUUUGCACUCCUCGACCCUGGGGUUCCCAAGUGGGGGACUUGGUGUAAGGAGUUAGUUAAACAGCUGGCCGUGCCGCCCCCUUCUGGAAACAUAGCACAAUAGGGGCCUUUGCUGGUGACUUCGGGCACUUGUUCAAUUUUCUUCUCCGCCGUGCCAUCAUGCCAUAUUUCAUGGACCCAGCAUUCUGCUUCUUGUAUUUUUUUGGGCCAACAGUAAAAUUUUCAGUUAAAAAUACCAAGUCACCAAAAAUAACUUUCCCUGUUUCAGACAUGUGGGGGAGCUCCGCACUGUCAGCACCUUGGUGGCUCGGAUGUACGGGGGCCUCGAGCACCACCGGCACCUUGGUGGCUCAGAUGUGCGGGAGCCUCGAGCACUAUCAGUAACUUUGGGCCCGGUUGGUGCGAAAGCAUUGGCCUAAAAAAAGUGUCUCUGUUUCAGACAUAUGGAACCCAAAAAAAAGUGUCCCUGUUUCAGACACAUGUAUGUCACCUGGUAGCGCAUUGACCAAGUUUUUUUAGCUCUUUAGGGGGGAAGUGACAUUGAGCGAGCAGGGGUUAUCCAGGGCACUGCCCACGCCCAUCACAUGCCCAGACGUCGGUGCCCCCCACCGGUUAGCUUCUAGGCGAUGCUCCGACUAUCCAUUCCGGUGAGGCAUCUCAGAAUAUAUAAAAACGAUUUCCUCCCCAAUACCAAAGGUAGAAUUUGAAUAUCGUUACAUGUUUAGUACCCAACAAUGAAUGAAUCAUCCCAGUCCCUCCCCAUUCCAAGGGUUGAAUUUGGAUACCGAACAAUGAAUGAAUCGUCCCGAUCCCUCCCCUUUUGCAACAAGAGCCUCCAGCACCUUGGUGGCUCGGAUGUGCGGGAGCCUCGAACACCAUCGGCACCUUGGUGCCUCAGAUGAGGGGGAGCCUCCAGCACCAUCGGCACCUUGGUGCUCGGAUGUGCUGGAGCCUCGGCCACCAACGGUAACCUUAGUGCUUGAAUGUGCGAGAGGCUCGAGCACAAUCAGUACCUUUGUGCUUGUAUGUGUGAGAGCCUCGAGCACCAUCGGCACCUUGGUGGCUCGAAUAUGCGGGAGCCUUUGACACCAUCGGCAACCUUGCUGCUUGGAUGUGCAGGAGCCUCGAGCACCAAAGCAAAAGUUAGGCCCCUAUUGGUAGGGGAGCGUCGGGUAAAAAAAGUGUCCCCAUUUCAGAUACAUGAAUGAAUGGGGUAUGGAAGGACUAAAUAGGGACGUCAUUAAAAGUAACAUCUUAAACCAAAAUGAAAAGAGGGUAAAAGAUCUAUGGUAUGUGGAUAGCAGAAGCUGGGACACUAACAGAGUAAAGCAAGUUUACGGACGUGACUAAGGUGACAAAAUCUGUAACAUUCCCGUUGGAGACAUGGGACAAGUUGAUAGAAUGAUAUGGUUUCAUAACCCUUAUGGAUAUUUUACUUCAAAGUCUGCCUAUUCCUGGUUGCUGCUGAAGGAAAUAGGAUAUGGCCCUCAUAGGUUUUUUGAGAAAGCCAUAUGGAAGCUCGACACAUUAAUGAAGAUCCGUGUUUUUAUGUGGAGGGUGGGGUAUGAAAUCCUCCCGAUGAAUUGUAAGAUCGCCACUAUUAGACAAGGAUUCGACAAGGGAUGCCCAAGAUGUGGAGCUGAAAUUGAAACGCUGUUACAUGCAUUAAAAGAUUGCCCAACCUCAAGAGUGGCACUUUCGAUAGGUGGAUGGUCCAGUAAUUUUAUAUCUAAGAACUAUGAUCGGUGUAUUGACUGGUUGGAAGAGCUGAUGCGUGUCUUGGAUAAGAGGGUUAUGGCUGAUCUGAUGACAAUUUUAUGGAACUGCUGGAACAACAGGAAUAACUACAUUUUCAGGGAGAAAGAAGAGGAGCCUAAACAGAUUUGGUAAAGAGCCAGUAACCUACAAAGGGAAUUUCGAAUAUGCAACAUGCUGAAAGAACCAUUACUAUCGCAGAACACAGUGGAGAAAAAAUGGAAAAAAACCCCCAAAGGAUUUCAUUAAAGUAAACUUUGAUGCUACUGUGGGUGAAAAUAGAUCCGACUAUGGGACGGUUAUAAGAGAUGAAGAAGGUUUUGUUCUAGGAGGUGGUGGGGGAUACAAAGAAGGCAGGCUGUCAGUGGAAGAGGCCGAGUGUAUGGCACUUGAAGAAAGUAUAAAGGUGGCGUGCAGUUUAAAUAUAAAAGAUCAUGUCCUUUUCGAGACAAAUCACGUGGGGCUGGUCAACAAAUUCAACAAUCUUGCCCAUGACGUCACCACGAUAGGCGCACGGAUAAAUGAAUGUACAACAGCCUUUAAUCUUUUCAAAUCGACCAAUUUAAUGUGGACCGAUCGGUCAUGUAACAUUGUAGCUCAUUUAAUAUGUAAAAAAAUGUGUAGGGAAGGGAAAAAAUAUGUGUUCGAUAUGGAUUAUCCACCAGAAAUCCACAAUGCUAUGAUUUGUGAUGUUUCGUAAUAAAAUGUGUUGACCCUUGUGGUCGUUUUUGAUUCAAAAAAAAAGAAUGUCAUUUUUUUAGCUCUUUAGGGGGGAGGUGAUAUUAAGCGACCAGUGGUUGUCCAGGGCACUGCCCACGCCCACCGCAUGCCCGGACGUCGGUACCCCCCACCACCGGUCAGGUUCCCGGUAGUGCUCCGACAAACUGUCCUAGCGGUGCUCCAGUGAAUCAUUCCGCCAGCAUAGGCCCUUGGUCGUGCCGGAACCUCGGGUACCAUCGGCACCUUGGUGCUAGGAUGUGCAGGAGCCUCGGACACCAUCGGCAACCUAGGCUCUUGGUCAUGCGAGAGCCUCAGGCACCAUCGGCACCUAGGUGCUCAGAUGUGAGAGAACCUCGAACACCAUCGGUAAGCUCGGCCCUUGGUCGUGCGGGAGCCUCGGGCACCAUCGACAAUCUAGGCCAUUGGUCUUGCGAGAGCCUCAAGCACCAUCGGCACCUGGGCGCUCGGAUGUGCGGGAGCUUCGGACACCAUCAGCAACCUAGGCCUUUGGUCGUGCGAGAGCCUCAGGCACUAUCGGCACCUAGGCGCUCGGAUGUGCGGGAGCCUCGGACACUAUCAGCAAACUAGGCCCGUGGUCAUCCGGGAGCCUCGGGUACCAUUGGCACCUGGGCGCUCGGAUGUGCGGGAGCGUCGAACACUAUCGGCAAACUAGGCCCUUGGUCUUGCGGGAGCCUCGAGCACCAUCGACACCUUGGUGCUUGGAUGUGCAGGAACCUCGAACGCCAUUGCCAACCUAGGCCCUUGGCCGUGCGAGAGCCUCGGGUACCAUCGGCACCUAGGCGCUCGGAUGCGCGGGAGCCUUGGACAGCAUCGGUAAACCAGGCCCUUGGUCAUGCGGGAGCGUCGGGCACCAUCAGCACCUCGGUGAUUGGAUGUGCGGGAGCCUCGGGCACCAUCGGCCAAAUAGGCCCUUGGUCGUGCGAGAACCUCGGCCACCAUUGGGACCUAGGUGCUUGGAUGUGCGGGAGCCUCGGACACCAUCGACAAACUAGGCCCUUGGUCGUUCGGGAGCCUCGGGCACCAUUGGUAACCUAGGCCCAUGGUCAUGUGACAGCCUCGGGCAGCAUCGGCACUUGGACGCUUGGAUGAGCGGGAGCGUCAGACACCAUUGGCAAACAAGGCCCUUGGUCCUGCGGGAGCCUAGGCAACAACGGCACCUUGGUGCUAUGAUGUGCGGGAGCCUCCGACAAUGUCAGCAUUCUAGGCCUUUGGUCGCGCGGGAGCCUCAAGCACCAUCGACACCUUGGUGCUUGGAUGUGCGGUAACCUCAGACACCGUCGGCAACCUAGGCCCUUGGUCGUGCGAGAGCCUUGGGCACCAUCGGCACCUAGGGCCUCGGAUGUGCGAGAGGCUUAGACACCAUCGGCAAACUAAGCCCUUGGUCUCGCGGGAGCCUUGGGCACCAUCGGUACCUCGGUGCUCUGAUGUCCGGGAGCCUCGGGCACCAUCGACAGAAUAGUCCCUUCGUCGUCCGAGAGCCUCAGGCACCAUCAGCACCUCGGUGCUCGGAUGUGCAGGAGCCUCGAGCACCGUAGGCAAAAUAGGCCCUUCAUCGUGUGAGAGCAUCGGGCACCAUCGGUACCUUGGUGGCUCGGAUGUGCGGGAGCCUCGAGCAGCAUGGGCACCUGGGUGGCUCGAAUGUGCGGGAGCCUCAGACACCAUCGACAACCUUCGUGCUUGGAUGUACGGGAGCCUCAAGCACCACCGGCACCUUGGUGCCUGGGAUGUGCGAGCUAAAGAAAAGUGUCCCCAUUUCAGACAGUCGAUUGUUUCCUGGUAGCACAUUGAGGAAGUUUUUUUACCUCUUUAAGGGGUAGAGAUUCGCUGCCCCCCGACGUGCCCCUCCUCCAAGCCGAGGUGGGGUGCGUCUAGCCCCCCAUGGAGGUCGGGUCGACCCGUAAUGACUCAUCAACGGUGGUGGGUCGGUCGCCAGCGGUAGUGGCCGGGGUUCUUAUUUUCUGGUCGGCCAAGCCCGUGCCCAUAGAAAUGUAGCCAACGACUCCGGGGUGGCUUAUGCAUUGCUAUGGGCUCGAGCUUGGCUUGCCCGUCUGCCCCCGUCACGUUUAUGGAUGCCUUGUGCAUCCUAAGUCGGCGACCACAGGGUGCCUUGGCCUUGCCAAGCCCUUGCCCGCAUUCGAAGGUGCUCGUGACCCCAGUACCAAGUCCCUUUGACGGCAACGGCUCACUGGGGGGUGAAAGUUGAGAUUGUAGGCUCGGUCCUGGCUCGACCAAGUCCUAGUGGGAUUUUCCCCUCGUAGUUCUCGUGCCAAGCAGUUGUGGUGCGCUCUCGUUCGUUGUUCCUUCCGCUCCCCUACCAUUCGAUUGGUUGGGUGGGCUGUUGGGUGGUGUGCGCGGGCGCUACUACUAGUACGCAAUGGGCAUAUGAGUGAUGUUUUGGUUGUGUGUAUUGGUAGGCUCCACGGUAAUUGUAUCGAACUGUCGGGCCGUACUCCUCUUCAUUAACUCCCCUUGUUGUAAUUGAACCCAAGGGGUGGGAUCGGGAUCUUGUGUUGCGUACCUAAGCCAGAUGGAAUUAUGGAUGUGUUGCCAUCCCUUCCCCAUCUCGUGCCCUUCGGGGUGUGUGGUGGAUCUCAAUUGCGCCUUGUGUCUCGAGUGCACCCCCUUAAAUCUUAUCGGUGCACUGGUGCUCGAUCGUGCUUUCGGAUGCGGAAAAUAUUUUUGAGAGUAGGGUUUAGGCCCUUAUCUCUCGAUGCCUAUGCAUUUUUUCUCUUGACACGGAUGGUGCUCGUGCUCUGUUAUGACCUCUUCGUUACUCACGCGGCAUGUUGAGGGCCAUGCAGUGCCGACGUCGCGGAGGAAUGCUACCUGGUUGAUCCUACCAGUAGUGAUGGGUGACAGAGAAUUAGGGUUCGAUUCCGGAGAGGGAGCCUGAGAAACGACUACCACAUCCAAGGAAGGCAACAGGCGCACAAAAUUACCCAGUCCUGACACGGGGAGGGAGUGACAAUAAAUAACAACACCGGGCUCUAUGAGUCUGGUAAUUGGAAUGAGUACAAUCUAAAUCCCUUAACAAGGAUCCAUUGGAGGGCAAGUCUUGUGCGAGCAGCCACGGUAAUUCCAGCUCCAAUAGCGUAUAUUUAAGUUGUUGCAGUUAAAAAGCUCGCAGUUGGACUUAGGGGUGGGUCUACCGGUCCGCCUCACAGUUAGCACCGGUCUGCUCGUCCCUACUGUCAGCGAUGCGCUCCUGGCCUUAAUUGGUCGGGUCGUUCCUCCGGUGCCGUUACUUUGAAGAAAUUAGAGUGCUCAAAGCAGGCCUACGCCUGUAUACAUUAGCAUGGGAUAGGAUCAUAGGAUUUCGAUCCUAUUGUGUUGACCUUCGGGAUCGGAGUAAUGAUUAACAGGGACAGUCGAGGACAUUCGUAUUUCAUAGUCAGAGGUGAAGUUCUUGGAUUUAUGAAAGACGAACAACUGCGAAAGCAUUUGCCAAGGAUGUUUUUAUUAAUGAAGAACGAAAGUUAGGGGCUCAAAGACGAUCAGAUACCGUCCUAGUCUUAACCAUAAACGAUACCGACCAGGGAUCAGCGGAUGUUGCUUUUAGGAUUCCGCCGGCACCUUAUGAGAAAUCAAAGUCUUUGGGUUCCGGGGGGAGUAUGGUCACAAGGCUGAAACUUAAAGGAAUUGACGGAAGGGCACCACCAGGAGUGGAAUCUGCAGCUUAAUUUGACUCAACACGGAGAAACUUACCAGGUCCAGACAUAGUAAGGAUUGAUAGAUUGAGAGCUCUUUCUUGAUUCUAUGGGUGGUGGUGCAUGGCCGUUCUUAGUUGGUGGAGCGAUUUGUCUGGUUAAUUUCGUUAACGAACGAGACCUCAGCCUGCUAAGUAGCUACACGGAGGUGAUCCUCCGUAGCUAGCUUCUUAGAGGGACUAUGGCCUUUUAGGCCAAGGAAGUUUGAGGCAAUAACAGGUCUGUGAUGCCCUUAGAUGUUCUGGGCCGCACGCGCACUACACAGAUGUAUUCAACGAGUCUAUAGCCCUGGCCGACAGGCCCGGGUAAUCUUCAAAAUUUCAUCGUGAUGGGGAUAGAGCAUUGCAAUUGUUGGUCUUCAACGAGGAAUUCCUAGUAAGCGCGAGUCAUCAGCUCGCGUUGACUACGUCCCUGCCCUUUGUGCACACUACCCGCCACUCCUACCGAUUGAAUGGUCCAGUGAAGUGUUCGGAUCACAGCGACGUGGGCGGUUCGCUGCCCGUGACGUUGCGAGAAGUCCACUGAACCUUAUCAUUUAGAAGAAGGAGAAGUCGUAAUAAGGUUUACGUAGGUGAACUUGCGGAAGGAUCAUUGUCGAAGCCUACCUAGCAGAACGACCUGUGAACGCAUUGCAAACAACACCGGAGGUGGUGCGGGGGCAUCCUCGCCUCUCAGGCACCUCCGUGUCUCGGAGUGGUCAGUCUCGUCGUCCCUUUUCCCAUCGGGUGGGGUGAGAUGUGGGGAUCAACCUCUUCGAGGCAAAACGAACAAACCCCCAGCGCGAAUCGUGCCAAGGAAUCAAAACGAAAAAAGAGGCACGCCUUCUGUCACCACACCGUUCGCGGUGUCGGUGCUUCAGUGAUGUGGUUCUCUUGUCGCAAAAUAUACAGAACGACUCUCGGCAACGGAUAUCUCGGCUUUCGCAUCGAUGAAGAACGUAACAAAAUGCGAUACUUGGUGUGAAUUGCAUAAUCUCGUGAACCAUCGAGUCUUUGAACGCAAGUUGCACCCCAAGCCAUUAGACCGAGGGCACGUCUGCCUGGGUGUCACGCAACAUGGCACAUCCUACAAAAUACUAAUGUUGCAGCCUAUGCUAACUCACUUCUAAUUAAUUCCCAUUCCUUUGACUUCCUCCACAAUCUCCUUAAGCUGAACCGGAUUAUACAAAAAUAUUCGAGGAUGACGGUUAAACAACAUAAUGACAUUCGAUUCAGGGACUCCAAUUCCUCUCAAAACAUAUAUUCAGUGAAAUAAAGACAAAUGCAACAACAACAGGAACCAUAACCAUAGACAUGAAAUAUAUAUUAUAUAAAGCUAAAAAAGUGGAUUGACUUACGCUAAACAGCUACAGCAGAUUGGUGAUCCCAAAAUUUUUAGCAAUAAAGUGGAUAGGGGAGGGGCAGUAAGGGAAUGAUAAGUAACAGCUUAGAUCCUAGUUUAACUAUGCUUCUUUGAACAUGCAGAGCGGCAGAAACAACACUCAGGAAUAAUCUAGUAGAUUAUAUCACUUAUAACACAAUUUUAUCAAGCACUUAUCUUCACACUUUUUCUUGAUUACCGAAUCACAAGUUCUCAACCAAAAUUAUACGAAAUGGUCAAGAGGAAAAUGAAGGGAAGAGCAUUUACUCAUUGUCAAAAUUGGAAACAACAUAGAAAAUUGUUCGUCUUGUGGAAACACAACAAUCAAUAAGUUCCUCAGUUAAAGAAAAUGCAAACCAACCAAGUGUAUGAUGCAAUAAAUGACUGUAGUACUGAAUAUAAACUAGACAAGUACAAAGUUGACAAGCUCUCAACCAAAUAGACAAUCAGCCAGUCUAGCUGCCAGCAUAAGAUAUUGAGAGUACAUCACAAGACAAAAGAAGCACAACAUUCUAAUUGCAUCCUCUGACUAGGUUUUUCAUUACAAAUUACCUUCCAACAACACCACAUAUAAAAAUUGAGAUUUAAGUGAGUCCCAAGUCCACAUGACUCUUCUCCAGUCCUAGGUACCAAUCAGGAUAGACAAAAGAAAGGUAGAUAUUUAUAAACUUGUGAAUUGCAGAAAACAUCUAGUUGCAACACAUUAACCAUCCUUUCACUCAGUCAAUAAAGGUUCCAUAGAGCUUUGUUCAUGCUUCCACAAAACUUGAGUACAAGCUGGUUAUUUCACACUCCUUAAUACGAAUAACUCAUGGAUCAUGAGCCACAAUCAUUAACUGCUCUUAUAGCCUUACAACUAUGGCUGCAAAAGCACUAUGAAAUACCAUAGCCUCGCAAAAAGACAAUAUAUUCCCAAUCCAUCAGUCCAAGAGAUUCAGUAAAGAGAGAAGGGAGCAACGAGAGGAUUGGGACUACUGUUACAGAACCAGUCAUUUCCACAAUUUGGUUCUCCUAAAUCAACUUCCAUAGUUCAAUUUGACAAUGUUUAUCCAAUAUAGUUCACAUCCCAAGAAAGGAUACAUGAAUGACAAAACUAAAAGAGGAGAAGCCAAUAGAGCUCUCUCACUCUUGCCACUUAGUUCAUCCAAUGAGAAUUUGAGGUCAAUAAUCCAUCAAUGAAAAGGUUAAAGAAACAGGUAAGGCUUGGUAAAUUAUUCAUCUAAGAAGUAGCUAGAUAAUGUAGAAAAGGAAUAAGCCAUGCUAUUUUUCAUCAGAGAAUAAAUAAGCUUUGGGGUUAUGCUAAAUCGUACAGAAUUUUUAUGCAAUUUGAGAAACAAGUAACCUCAUCUUACACCAUAGAAAUAGAUCUUGCAACAGUCUCAUUAAAUAAACACAGCGAGUAAAUACCAUUGUUAACUCAACAAAAGUAAUACGAGAUGAAUGAUGGUAGUCUCCCAAUAUCCUCAUGCAUUGAACAUACCAAAAAGCACAAAAAUGUUUGGCAAAGGAUCAUAAAAUCUGGAUAUUGAAUAACAACACAACCGAGCGUAUCACGAAGGAUUGAAUAAUAAUUUAACAACUGUAGGUCAUUCCAUUCUUUAUGAAAUAGAACUCUACUCGAAACUUAAGCUAAUUAAAAUACAGGAAUCCAUAGAAAUUAAUCCAAUAACAGAAACCCAUCAAAGUAAACCAAUCAAACUUAAAAUUUGACAUGGUAAAGAAGGAAAAUAACCACUCAAAAUAAAAUAUGAAGCAGAAAAAAGCUCAAUUUCUUGAACCUAAUGGAACAACAGGGAAAAAACAGCGAUAAAUUUAGAGCUGCAAACAUUAAAGCAGUUUGAGAGCAAAAAAGAGUUAGAAAUUGGUUUACCUUUCAGUUGCAGUAACUUGGAAACCCACCAACUGAGAGCAAGCGAAAGAGUGACAGAGAGAAAAAGAAAGAAAAGGUUGAGAAGGCCAAGCGUAAAUUAUGUUGUAAAGAAAAAGAAAAGAAAAGGUUGAGAGACAGAGGGAGCAAAUCGGCAGAAAAGGUUGAGGCUAGAAGGAAGGAACAGAAGACGAAAAGGGGAAGCCGAUCAGGAUGGUAAAACAGGGAGGGUAAACUGAAGCAGCACCUAAACUGAGCAAAAGGGAGGGAUUAGAAAUCAGUGGAUUUUGGGGAUUAGGUCAGUAAUGUAUUAGACCCGUAAUAGCAAUACCCUAAACAAAAUAAAGGAUUAAAGGGGGAUUAAGUGGGGCCCACCGAUUAGGGGUGUAUUGGCUAUGCCAAUACACCCAACCAAACAUGCUGUAAGUAUGUUCCAUGCCGUGAUAAUUUAUUUUCAUUCCAAUUAAGCAAUUUAACGUCAAUCUUAUGCCAUGCGCAGAUCAGGGACAUUGGGACAACCACAUGGGCUCAAUUUAGAAUUAAAUUCGCAUAAAUAAAGCUGCUAAAAGAGGAUGGUCAGAUGCUGGUUUUAAAGAAAUCCAAUUGACAAUGAGACAAAGAAGAAAAUUCGUCCCAAUUGGAUGUACAGCAGACCGAAUAUGCGACAAAAUCAGUAGGAGAAUUAUUUUUAAUUCCCCAAAUUUCCUUCUUGCUAGCGGCGGUCGACUCCGAUUGACUCAAGAAAAAUAAAUCAGCCUUGAAGAGAUCAAAUAAAGUAAAACUCUAGUAGGCUAGAGCUAUUUUUAUGCGACGGUUUAGGCUAAGAUCAAGGGGAUAAGAUCAAGUUUUGUUUUGAAUUAUUAGAGGUUAUAUUUUUCCAUAAAAGGAGGAGAAGAAGCAGUAGACCAGUAGAAGAUUUUUCAUUAUUUUGCAGGUAUAGUUCGGUCAUUCAAUAGAGGAUUUUGUGAGCCAACACGCACCAGUCAAUCAGCUAGAAAACAGUUCAAAGAAUCAGCUAGUCGAGAGGAGAAGGGCUCGGUAAUUGAGAGCAGCUUUCCAUACAAGAUUGGUUCGAAAUUUACGCUGUCUUCAAUUAAUUUCGGUUCUGGACUUCUUGCUAUAAGUUGCUAAAUUAUUUCAGCUUAGUUAGGCACUCAUGAAGCUGAGCGCAAGGGAUUCAAAGACAUGAUUUUUCUUUCUAAAUAAGAGUUCGGUAUUCUCUAAUUGUUUGUUUUUAACGUUCAAAGGAAAUUUCUAAAUCAAUUGGAUUGGUCACCAAUUUAAUUUGGGGAUUUUCUUACAGUCAUCUAAGUACAAAUUGAGUAAUUAAAAUUCUUAAUAAACUUAGAAUAUGUGAUGAAGAAUUGGCCAUCAACUAAUUAAAAACAACUAGGGAUUUAAUGGUAGAGACCGCUGGAGGACUCUUUACGAUUGAUGCAAGGUAAAAUCUCUAAGAAUUUUAAAUACACCUUUAAUUGGUCGACGGAGAGAUAAUUAAGGGUAGAAAUUCAGCUAAGAACAUUCUCCGACUGGAUAAAAUUACCAGAGAUAGGAAAUUACUUCGUAAGUGAUUUCUUUAUCCUUGCUGCUAUAAGAUACUGGAAUAAUUUAGGGAUGCAAUCGACUUGUGCUUAGCAGAUUGAGGAGCCCAUAACUAAGCCUUCUUUCUCUCUAUUGGAUUAAAUAUUUCAAAGUAAUUUAAAAUUUGAGUUAAAAUUUAUUCAUUAAUUUAGGAAAACGUAGAAGUAAAAACCCCCCAUUUUACUAUCUUGCACGUGUUUACAUUAUCUUAAUUUCAAUUCUUUUCAAAUAGGUUUACACGAGCUUCUUACUUACUAUAUAUUACCAGUUAAUAUUUUCUUAGUAGAGGAUAAAAUUCGGUGGUCGUAACGACAGCUACUAAAUUUUGGCGCCGUUGUCGAGGAAGCGACGUAGUCAAAUCUAUUUGAUUUUCAGAACUUAUUUUGUUUUCUUGUUUUUGUCUAUGCAGGUAUUUUAGUCCCUAUAGUAUAUGUUAUUAAGGAGCAGACGAUGAACAUCGAAAGACCCUGUUAACAUUACCGAUCAGCAAGCCGAAUAUCCCAACCUCCACGUUGAGCCUAACAUUUCAGAGGAUAUCAACAUGGCCAACUAGACCUUGAAGCAAUUGGCCGCACCUAACUUGGCUGCGCAACCACCAUAUGUCACGUAUCCCACCCUUGAUAGGCCAUUAAAGCUUAAGUCGGGAUUCCUAAAUUUGUUGCCAAAAUUCAAUGGGUUACCAGGUGAGGACCCUUACCGGCGUAUUAAUGAAUUUUUAAUUACUUGUUCAACUAUGCAGCCAGAUGGCAUUGAAGAGGAAUAAAUCAAGCUUCGAGCCUUCCCUUUCUCGUUACAAGGUUUGGCAAAGGACUGGUUAUAUUACAUGCCGCCAGGUUCAUUUACAACUUGGACAGGGUUACAUAAGUCUUUCCUUGAGAAGUAUUUUCCGGCAUCUAGGAUAGGGUCGAUUAGGAAAGAAAUUUGUGGAAUUAAGUAGCUGGUAGGUGAGUCACUAUAUGAGUACUGAGAAAGAUUUGAACGACUAUGUGCGAGUUGUCCACAGCAUCAGAUUAGCGAGUAGCUUUUAGUGCAAUAUUUUUAUGAAGGUCUGACGCCACAAGAUCGAGGAAUGAUUGAUGCCGCGAGUGGAGGUGCAUUGGUUGAUAAAACUCCUGAGCAAGCCCGAAAUUUGAUCACUAAUAUGGUGCAGAAUACACAACAAUUUUGUCUCAAGAGGUCCGACUUGGGUAAACGAAUGGAUGAGGGCCAGUCGAGUAUGAUGGAGGCUCAAUUAGCUAAUUUAACGGCUAUGGUAUGUAAGUUGAUGACUGGAGGUACUGCGAAAGCUUCACUAUGUGGCAUUUGUUGUUUAGAAGGAUGUACCACAAAUAUGUGUCCGACAUUACAGGAAGGGGAAGCUAACGCCAUCUUUACAAAUCAGAGGAGGUAUGAUCCAUACUCGGUAACUUAUAAUGAGGGAUGGAGAGAUCACCCUAAUCUUAGAUAUCAAAAUCGAGCUACGCCUCCAGAUUUUGAGCAGCAAAAUUCCCGACCAUAUAAUAUGUCACAACCAACCCAUCAAAACCUGAGUGUCGAAACCAAGACCCAUACCAUGCUUGAACAAAUGAUGAAGAUGAUGGCUGACCAGAAGAAGGAAACUGAUGGAAUGUUUUAGUCUUUGGAAUUGUAAGUGAAGCAAUUGCAAACCAGAGCCUCAUCGACUGACGUUAAUCUUGGGAACUUGCAAGCAUAGGUAAAUAAUCGGUUACCAUCACAGCUCGUGGCAAAUCUGAGGGAUAAUGUCAGUGCUAUAAACUUGCGAAGUGGGAAGGAGUUGAGAUCGAUACUAAAGAAGGUCCAAAACAGUGACGGGGAAGACGAAACUGAGGUAAAAAAUGUCCGAUUUAGUGAUAUUUAAGAGGAAAAUUUAGCCUUGCCAAAGGCUGAUUUACAACCGUCGCAAGCAGCACCAAAGGAAGCAGGGAAAUCACGUUUACAACAGCCCACUGCUUCGCAUGAUGCAACAAAUUUUGAAAAGAAAACGAGGGUUCCCGAGCUUCGAGCACAAGCAAGUCAGAACGCUAAUAACCAACCUCGGUCUUAUGUGCCGAAGGCGCCAUUUCCACAGCGUUUGAGGAAGGAAAAGUCAGACGACAUCAAUGCCAAAAUUCUAGAGACUUUCUGCAAGGUACAAGUUAAUAUUCCAUUAAUUGAUGCAAUUAAAUAAGUGCCUAGAUAUGCUAAGUUUUUGAAAGAAUUAUGCACAUCUAAAAGGAAAUUAAUUGGAAAUGAGAAGAUUAGCUUAGGCGAAAAUGUAUUUGCGGUAUUUAAAAAGAAACUUCCUACUAAAUGUAAAGAUCCUGGAAUGUUUUCGAUACCUUGUAAGAUAGGAGACCUUAAACUUGAUAAAGCUAUGCUUGAUUUAGGAGCUUCUAUAAAUGUCAUGCCUAGGAGUAUCUAUGAUAGGGUUCAAUUAGGUGAUUAAAAGACACAGGACUGAUAAUUCAACUUGCAGAUAGGAGUAAUGCCUACCCUGAUAGUGUUUUAGAAGAUGUUCUAGUGCAAGUAAAUGAGUUAGUCUUUCAUGCUGAUUUUUAUGUUUUAGACAUGGGACCUAAUGAUAAUUCAAUUGAUGUGCCCUUACUCUUAGGUAGACCUUUUCUUAAGACUGCUAGAACGAAAAUUGAUGUGCAUAAAAGGAAUUUAACUAUGGAAUUUGAUGGUGAGAUAAUUAAAUUUAAUAUAUUUGAUGCUAUGAGAUAUCCCACCGAUAUUAAUUCCGUGUUAACUCUUGAUGUAAUUGACAAUUUUGUUCAAAAUGUCUAUGAAUUAGGGGAUGAGGACGAGUUGAAAAGCGUUCUGGCUAAGAGCAUUUUUGAUAUCGACAGGCAUGAAUUUAUCAUUUCUGAUUCUUUAAUUAAUUCGAUUUGUGCAUUAGACUCGCCUCAAUUAACAGGCUUCAAGCCGAUCCUCCCUAACCUUACGGUGACUGGUAAGCAAAUUCCUUCAUUGAUUUCACCACCUAAAUUGGAAUUAAAAGAGCUGCCCGAAAAUUUAAAGUACAUUUAUUUGGGGGAAAAUCAAACUUUACCAUUGAUAGUGUCGAAUGCUUUAACCGAAAUGCAAGAAUCUAAGCUGCUUAGAGUUUUUAGGGAACAUAAAGAAACCUUCGGUUGGACACUAGCCGAUAUUCGGGGGCUUAGUACGACUUUAUGUACUGACAAGAUAGCCUUAGAACCAUAUUCAGUCCCUAAAAGAGACCCCCAACGCCGAUUGAAUCUGCCAAUGAUGGAGGUAGUUAAGACUGAAAUUUUAAAAUGGUUGGAAGCCGAUGUCAUUUAUCCUAUAGCCGAUUCAAAGUGGGUAAGUCCAAUUCAUGUUGUACCUAAGAAGGGAGGAACCACAAUAGUUACUAACACAGAAGGAUUAGAGAUUCCCACAAGAAUGCAGAACGGUUGGCGGGUUUGUAUAGACUAUAGGAAACUGAACAAAGCCACUAAAAAAGACCACUACCCCCUCCCAUUCAUGGAUCAAAUGUUAGAAAGGUUAGCUGGUCGCUCACAUUUUUGUUUUUUAGAUGGCUAUUCAGGUUAUUUAUAGGUACCCAUCACACCUGAGGAUCAAGAGAAGACCACCUUCACUUGCCCGUUUGGAACUUACGCCUUCAAGAGAAUGCCUUUCGGAUUGUACAACGCACCAGCCACUUUUCAAAGAGGUAUAACGAGCAUAUUUUCGGAUUUUAUUUCACAUUUAAUGGAGGUGUUCAUGGAUGACUUUACUGUUUAUGGUGAUUCAUUUGAUCAAUGUUUGCAUCAUCUUGCGUUAGUUCUUAGGCGUUGCAUUGAGACUAAUCUGAUAUUGAAUUUUGAGAUAUGCCAUCUCAUGGUUGAGAAGGGUGUAGUGUUGGGCCAUGUCGUCUUAGCUAAAGGAUUAGAAGUCGACCAAGCCAAAGUCGAGGUAAUUAAAAAUCUACCGUAUCCAAGUACUUUGAAAGGAAUUCGAUCCUUCUUGGGACAUGUAGGUUUUUACCGUCGGUUCAUCAAGAAUUUUUCGCAAAUAUCAUCAUCUUUGUGUGCAUUGCUUGGUAAGGAUGUCGCAUUUGAAUUUAAUGAGAGUUGCAAAAAAUCUUUUGAUGAAUUGAAAUUGAAAUUGAUCACGGCUCCUAUCA
rnacentral:lncRNA from 1 species